rnacentral:lncRNA from 10 species
GCCUUUCUGGGUCCUCCUCUCCUAGGGUGAGGCUGGAGAGGGAGUGGGUGUGGGGGGAGGUGGAAGGCAGCGAUGAGCCUGGAACUGGAUGAAGAGUCUCUGCCCCUCGCUCAGGGCCUGAGGAGGUAACUCUGCUCAGUGAGUGCUGCAGUCCCUGGAUCCCCGGCCUGCCUAGAUGCUGUGAGACUGUGCGUGUUCACUGCGCCCCCUGGCAGGGCCUGCCGCCUCAGCACCUGCCACAGCCCUGCUCUUCCCCAGGACACUGGGACCAAGGGUGACUCAGAAAAAGGAGCAGAUGAGGAAAUGGAGGCACAGAGAGGCCACACUGCAAGCAAGUAGAGAGAAGACCCAAUCCCAAAUGUGAUUCCCUUCCUCCAACCCCGCUUCUGUCCCCAUCUGGCAGCAGCCUGAGCAUACCUGCUGUCUUCGCUGGUGACCAGGACACGCACAGCCAGCACAUCCUGUCCAGCUGCUUCCUCCCCAGGGCUGAUCCUCACUGAGGUCCACUCGGAGGGCAGGGGAGAGGCAGCGUCCCCUUCCGCAUCACUGUGCUGUGGCUCAGAGAUGCUCUUCGGCCUCUUGGGGGAGGUGGGCUCAUCUGCUGAGAGGAGAGCAGGGUCUAGAGAGAUGGUGCAAAUGAAUGGCCUAGCAGGACCCUUCCAGGGGCUCAGGGCCCCUCUAGGCCUGGGGUCUACUCAGAUACUCCAAAGCUGACCUUCUUGUCCUCCGUGCCACCUCUGGAACCCUCACCCCCGAGCCUGCCAGAUGCCCAGGCAUUUAGGGCAUAUUUCCCACAUGUAGGGCGUGAAUGCACAGAUCAUCCCAUUUAGUCCACAGGGAAGGUUCUGAAACAUUCAGAGGGGCCAUUCCAGGCUAACCAGCCUCUGAACUGCUGCUGUCAAGACGGCAACAUCCAACAUGUUGCUAAAUCCAGUGGUAACAUCUCAGUUCUCAUCUUAUUCGACUAUUCUACACACCAGCAGCAUUUGACCCAGCUGGUCACUCCGUCCUAGAAACAGCUCUCUCAGCUUCUAGGAUGGCAAGGCCUGCCCAAUCCCCAGCCCCUUCUUCACUGGCUAUCUCCUUCAUUUCCUCUCCUGGCUCCACCUUCUCCCCUUGACCUUGUAACACUGAAAGAUCCCGGGACUCAGUCUCUGAACCUCUUUUCUUCUCUGUCUACACUCAUGCUCUUGAUGCCCUCAUCUGGUCUCAUGGCUUUAAAUAACCCCAGGCAACAAUGACCCCCAGAUUUCUAUCUCCAGCCUGGACAUUCCUGAUUCUAGACUUAUAUAGACCACUGCUCACUUGCAUCUCCGUCUACGUGUCUAACAGACACAUCAGACUCAACAAGUCCGAACAGAGUUCUUCAUCUUCUCCACCCACCCAACAUGUCUUGCCCAUAGCCUUCCCCCUCUCAGUAAAUGGCAACUUCAGCUUCCUGUUGCUCCAGCCAACACCUCGCCAGCAUCUUUGACUGCUCUUGUCCUUUCGUUCUUCAUUCAAGUCAUCGGCAAAUCCUGGUGGGUCUGCCUUCAAAACACGUCGGGAAUCCAGACCCCUCUCACCGCCUCUCUGCUUCCCACUCCUGGUCCAGCCACCAUUGUCUUUUGCUUGGAUCAUAGAAACUGCCUCUGCCUGGCCUCCGUCCCUGCCUCUUGCUGUGCCCCACCCCCACAGUCUAUUCUCAACACAGCAGCCAGGGUGACUCAGUUAAAACCUGAGUGAGAUCAUGCCACUCCUCUGCUUAAAAUCACCCAGUGGCCCCUCAUUUACUCAGGGUGAAAGCUGAAGGCCCUACCGAGGCCUGCAAAGUCCAAGAUAACGUAGUCCCCAGUGCGUCCCGUGACCUUGUCUCCUAGCACUGGCCCCAGGCUUGCCCUGUCCUCACCAUGGCACCUCCGUGAUGCUCCUCCAGCACUCUGGGCACACGUCCUUCUCAGACCCCUUGCACUGCUCUUGCUUCUGCCUGGAAGGUGUUAUCCCCAGACGUUUCCAUGCAGGCCUCAUUCACUCACUGGCUGUCUUCAAGUCCUUGGUGGAACGUCACCUGCCCUGACCAUCCUAUUUAAUAUUGCAGCCCAUGCCUCAGUGCUCUCCAUUCCCCUUGAUUUUCAUUCAUAGUGUGUCUCACCCUCCAAUAAACUAUACAAUUUCCUUUUUUCAUUUUGUUUAUUGUCUCUUUCUUCUAUGACUAGAAUGUAAGCAGUGAUUUUUGUCUGUUUCAUUUGUUGCUAGGGUGGUACCUGGUGAACGGUAGGCGUUCAGUGAGUGUCUGCUGAAUGAGUUCAUGAGUGAAUGCGCCCAGCUCUGUCUUGGCCACUAACUAGCUAGGUGACCUCAUCUCCAGGGACAGUGUCCAGAGAACAGGUGUCAUUUUUCCUCUUCAAGAUGGAGCCUUCACCUGAACUUGGCUCCCUCUCACUUCCCUCCUCCCUCUCCACAGUGUCAUUCUUGUGUCCUCAUUUGUCUACUGAAUCUUUCCUGUCUAUAUUUAAAUAUGCUGAAAGUCUCCUGUCUUAAGAAAACUUGUUUUAAUCCCAGUCCUCACCCCCAGCCCCCAGCCUACUCUUUCUUCUUCCUUCUUAGCCAAGCUUCCUGGAAGGGUUGGCUACACUCUUCUCUCUCUCCUCUUCUUUAUGAACCCUCUAUUCCUAUAAUCCUGCCUGUGCCUCCACCACUCCCAAACUACCCCCAGCACAGUCCACAGUGACCUCCUUGUUUCUAAGUCCAAUUCACAGGACUUUGGGAGUCCUCCUGCGGUCCUUGAGCCUGCCCUGUCCCUGCUCCUGGGGACACCUUCUCUCCCUGCCCCUGUGGCUGGCCGUCUCAGCUAUCCAGUAUUCCAGCCAACCCUUAAACACCUGGGUUCUCCAUGCAUCCACCUGAGCCCUCUCAUCUUUUUACCCAUGUGUUCUCUCUGGGAGAUA